AGAGUUUGAUCAUGGCUCAGAUUGAACGCUGGCGGCAUGCUUAAUACAUGCAAGUCGAACGGUAACAGAUUCUUCGGAAUGCUGACGAGUGGCGGACGGGUGAGUAAUACAUAGGAAUCUGCCCAUGUAGUGGGGGACAACUUGGGGAAACUCAAGCUAAUACCGCAUAAUUCCUACGGGAUAAAGAGGGCCACUGCUUGCAAGCUCUUGCUACUGGAUGAGCCUAUGUCGGAUUAGUUAGUUGGUAAGGUAAUGGCUUACCAAGACAGCGAUCCGUAGCUGGUUUGAGAGGAUGAUCAGCCACACUGGGACUGAGACACGGCCCAGACUCCUACGGGAGGCAGCAGUAGGGAGUAUUGGACAAUAGGCGCAAGCCUGAUCCAGCAAUGCCGCGUGUGUGAAGAAGGCCUGCGGGUUGUAAAGCACUUUCAAUUGGGAAGAAAGAUUAUGAGUUAAUACCUUAUAA
rnacentral:rRNA from 1 species